GGUGCUAGUCAUCCCCAUCCUUCUCAGAAAAGAUCAGGCUCAAGGAAAUUGGACAAAUCUUGCCUGGCUGAGGACUACACUCACAUUGAAGAUUGACAGAGCUGUAACCUAGAUGACUCUUUGGACAUUGCGGACAUAAUUAAGGAAAGACCUCCGAGCUCAGGAUGGUCCAUGAGUGCAGUUCUAUUUGUGCUUAUUCAAGAGAAACUCCUAUUGAUUUCAGCAGGGAUUACUCUCAGGAGCAGAAUGACUUGGAUAGCCUUGGCUAUCCAAAUAGCAAGCAAGUUUACUUCAGAGGAUUGCACUUAUUCUUUUGCUGUCUUCUGAAAAACAAACUGGUGAACAGUGUCUUGCCAGGUGAGGAAAAUUGAUCAAAUCUAUACACAUUAGCUCAAGACCUCCUUGUAGAAAUCUAAGUUUCCUGAAAUUUCUGUUACAACCUGACACUUG